rnacentral:lncRNA from 1 species
AUGCCCGGUGCUCUGCUUCUCUCCCCAAGCGGCUCCAACGGCCAGCGCCGGGCCAGGCAGAAGCCAGGAGGCUUGACCUCCAUUCAGGGCGCCCAGGAGGCCGGGAGGCGUGGUCCCUGGGUCACAGGCUGGAGAGGCCGCCCCGCCUGCAGCCCUGGGGCUUCGGAGGCUGGACGCGGCAGGCAGCGCGGAGGUGCGUCCCGCGGCGCCACGGCGGCCGCCCAUGGGGAGUGCGCCUGCGCCCGGCGCUGUGACCCGGAAGUGGCCCCUUGUGCCCCGGAAGUGGCCCCUUGUGGCCCGCGGCGCUCAGGUAGGAGUCCUCGCGGGUCCCGUCCGCUGCUGCCGGAGAGCCCGCGCGAGCCGAGCCGUCGGGAGCCGUCCUGGACGCUGCCGGCGGAGCCUGCGGGAGACCCAGCGCCCCCGGGGUCAGGCCGGGCUCAGAGAGGCUGCGGCCCGAGGCUGCCGCGCCGUUUCCCGGGCGCGGUUCUCUUCUUCGGCCCUUCGUGGAAGCAGCGGCCUUCGCGGGCCCCUGUGCCGCCAGCAGACCGGGCCCCCUUGGCGGUACAUCUCCUGCUCAGCCAUCCUCAGAUGGAAGUCUGCUCCUCAUCUGUUCCUGCCCAAAAGCCUGUUCAAGUCUUGAGGAGCCGUCCUCGAUGCUGCUGGCGGAGCCUGAGUGAGACCCAGUGCCUCCGGGGUCAGGCCUGAAUCAGAGACACUGCAGCCCGGGACAGCCGCAUCAGUUACCUUGCCCUUCUGGAAAUGUGUAGGCGCGGUCCUCUUCUUGGGCAGUCUGGAAGUCUACCCCUCGGGCCUCGGCUCCUGUUCCAGAGGAGCAGAAACGCUCUUUGGUGAGUUGGGCGCGAUGGCCUUGCUGUCGUCACGGGGUAGGUGGGGCCUGGGGUGCAGAUAGCAGGCAAGGGGUGUGCAUGUGAGGGGUGGAGGGGAGAGGAGGAGGAGAGAGGCGGCCAAGGGAGAUUCGGGAGGAGAGAGGAAGGGGGGAGAAGGAAAAGGUGGCGUGAAGGUGGGGUGGCGUGGAAGGAAGGGGAAGGAAGGCGUGUGGGGCAGC